rnacentral:rRNA from 1 species
UACGUAGGGGGCAAGCGUUGUCCGGAUUUAUUGGGCGUAAAGAGCGUGUAGGCGGCCAGAUAGGUCUGUUGUGAAAACUCGAGGCUCAACCUCGAGACGCCGAUGGAAACCAUCUGGCUAGAGUCCGGAAGAGGAGAAUGGAAUUCCUGGUGUAGCGGUGAAAUGCGCAGAUAUCAGGAGGAACACCGGUGGCGAAGGCGGGUCUCUGGGCCGAUACUGACGCUGAGGAGCGAAAGCGUGGGGAGCGAACAGG